GCAAGGAAGAGUGGCAUUGGCCCAGUAGUCCAGAAGCUCUUAUCCAAGAAAUGAGUGAAGGGAGGUUAUAAGACCCUCCUUGUUUUACCUCUGAUCCCAGAGGCUUGAGCCCCCAAAGGUCAAGAUGGUGGCCUCCCUUAGAGCUGUGAAGGAUGGGCCCGGAGCAAACUAAGCUGGCCCUGGAUGCAGAGUAAUACUGUUUACAUGAGACUCUAAUCUGCUGGGCAUUUAUUGAAGUGACUUCUAGAAGCAAAGAACAAGCUCUUAUGAGGAAACUCACACCAUGGAAGCCUGUUCCGGAGACCAGCCAGAAGAACCUAGAGGGGCAGAGGAAAAUGUCUUCCUCCCCAGCAAUUGUAGUUUGGGGUCUGCAGCCAUACUCCUGGCAGGACGCUUUGGAUAUGAAUGGCAAAGCGCCGGAGGAGAAGACAGGAUAGGAUGGACGUGGGCCCUUUGGAUUCGCCAGAGGAAAAAAAUAACACGUAACUUGGAAAUUAAUAAAACCUUCAAA